UACGUAGGGGGCAAGCGUUGUCCGGAUUUAUUGGGCGUAAAGAGCGUGUAGGCGGCUUUACAGGUCCGUUGUGAAAACUCGAGGCUCAACCUUCAGACGUCGACCGAAACCAUCUGGCUAGAGUCCGGAAGAGGAGAGUGGAAUUCCUGGUGUAGCGGUGAAAUGCGCAGAUAUCAGGAAGAACACCCGUGGCGAAGGCGGCUCUCUGGGACGGUACUGACGCUGAGACGCGAAAAGCGUGGGGGAGCGAACAGG
rnacentral:rRNA from 1 species